rnacentral:rRNA from 1 species
GAUGAACGUUGGCGGCGUGCCUAACACAUGCAAGUCGAACGAAAGUAGCAAUACUUUAGUGGCGCACGGGUGAGUAACACGUAGCUUACCUCCCUCUCAGCGCGGGAUAACGACUCGAAAGAGUUGCUAAUACCGCAUAAGCUCACGGGUUCUAGAGACUUGUGAGAAAAGGUGCAAAUCACUGAGAGACGGGGCUGCGGCCCAUCAGCUAGUUGGCGCGGUAAAGGCGCACCAAGGCGACGACGGGUAGGGGACCUGAGAGGGU